rnacentral:ncRNA from 12 species
UGACCAUUUCUUUAUCCGGUAAAUCGAGAACGAUAAAGAGAUUAAAUGCCAUACGGACAGCUAGGUCGAAUGCCGG